CUUGCUUCGUUGAUGGCUGAUAUUGCUAUUAUUGCAUUUGUAGCCAAAGGGACCAAGAUAAACGAGAUGAAAAACGAAGGACAUAUAUAUGGAUUAUAGACUCUGAAGCAACACACAUUCAUCUUUUCACUUACUUGGUAGAUUUCAUCUUUGGAUUCCAGUGAUAGAUGAGAAUGAUGUCCUUCAUCGUGCAGACACUGGGAGAAUCCGGUAACAAAUUCCUCCACACUGAUCAUCUCGCCUCCACUCGCAUCAAAUUGCUUGAUGAUUCUGUCUACCUUUUCAUCAGCAUCCGAAGGUGCAGGACCAAAUUUGAUAUUGCAUUGAUGUUCUUUUAAUUCAGCAUUCGAAAUGACAUCAUCUUUAUUGUGAUCAAUGCUUUUGAAUAACCUGUAAUGCAGCAAUUAAUAUUAUUCUUAAUAUGCCA